UGCCAGCAGCCGCGGUAAGACGUAGGGGCCAAGCGUUGUCCGGAUUUAUUGGGCGUAAAGAGCUCGUAGGCGGUUGCGUAAGUCGGAUGUGAAAGCCCCGAGCUCAACUUGGGAACUGCCUUUGAUACUGUUUAUCUAGAGUCCGAGAGAGGUUAGUGGAAUUCCCAGUGUAGAGGUGAAAUUCGUAGAUAUUGGGAAGAACACCAGUGGCGAGGGCGACCACCUGGUACAGUACUGACGCUGAGAUGCGAAAGCGUGGGGAGCAAACAGGAUUAGAUA
rnacentral:rRNA from 1 species